GGACGAACGCUGGCGGCGUGCUUAACACAUGCAAGUCGAACGAUGAAGCCGCAGCUUGCUGUGGUGGAUUAGUGGCGAACGGGUGAGUAACACGUGAGUAACCUGCCCUUCACUCUGGGAUAAGCCUUGGAAACGAGGUCUAAUACUGGAUAUUCAUUCAUGAUCGCAUGGUUGUGGGUGGAAAGAUUUUUUGGUGGGGGAUGGACUCGCGGCCUAUCAGCUUGUUGGUGAGGUAGUGGCUUACCAAGGCUUUGACGGGUAGCCGGCCUGAGAGGGUGACCGGCCACACUGGGACUGAGACACGGCCCAGACUCCUACGGGAGGCAGCAGUGGGGAAUAUUGCACAAUGGGCGAAAGCCUGAUGCAGCGACGCCGCGUGAGGGAUGACGGCCUUCGGGUUGUAAACCUCUUUCACCAGGGACGAAGCGGAAGUGACGGUACCUGGAGAAGAAGCACCGGCUAACUAC
rnacentral:rRNA from 1 species